CUAAAGUCAUACUCAAUUCAAUUAAAUAUCAUCAUAGGCGGCAAGUCAUUCAACACUAAAUUAGACACUAUAUUUUAAUUUUUCAAAUUUUUUUCCUUAGUCAUUAAUAACUGACUCGAUCAGUAGUUGAAAAAUUAAGUAUAAUUAACAGUUAUCAUGAUACUUACCCCACCCCUAAACAAAAUACUAUAUUGGCCCCAAUAUAAAAUUAAUUAAUCAUAAAUAAAUGAAUAAGAGAUCAGAUACUCCUUGGGGUGGAUGCGGAUGAGUGGAGGAAUUAGGUUUGUCCGACUGGCUGGACAAACUAGUAGGUCUGAGAGACUUGACAGUCCUUACUAUUUGGCCUUCAUUUUUGGUCAAUCAUCUCCAAUUGACUCUCAAAGUGCACUGUCAAUUAGGUUGGUCCGACUGGCUGGACAAACUAGUAGGUCUGAAAGACUUAGCAGUAAAAAAAAUAACAAAUCAGAAAAAAUGAAAAAUAGAAAAUACGAAGGAAAAAUAGAAAAUCGAAAUCUGAAAAAAUAAGGGUGCGUUUGGUUUGAGUUUCUGUUUUCUAUUUUGAGGGACUAUUUUCGAAUUACAGAAAAUUAUAAAAUGCGUUUAGUUUAAAAUUUUUAGAAAUUAUUUUAUGACAUUUAUUCAAUUAAUUUGAUUAUUUAGUAAAACAUAACAAUUUUAUGUUAAUAUAUUAUCAUAUAAUAUAUAUUUUAAACUUGGUGAAUUUACUAUUUUUCUUGCUACAAAAAUAAAAUAAUAAAUAAUAAAUAUUUAAAAAUUAUUUUAUGACACUUAUUCAAUUAAUUUGAUUAUUUAGUAAAAUAUAAUAAUUUUAUACUAAUAUAUUACUAGUUAAUAUAUAUUUUAGAUUUUGUAAAUUUACUAUUUUAAAAGUAUUGCUGAGCAUCCAUAUAAAAAUAAAAAACAUAAAAACCUGAAAGCGGCGUGUUUUGAGCGUUUUUCACGUUUUGAGUUUUUUGAACUGAAACCACUCCAAACGAAAAAAAUCGUUUUGAGUUUUCAGUUAUAAAUUUUUCCUUAUUUUCGAAAAUGCAUUUUAGGAAACGAGUAACCAAACGUAUUUUUGACAUUUUCGAAAACUAAAAAUAGAAAACGGCUGAAAAACGACAAAUUUGAAUUUUAAAAAUGGUCAGUGCCCAUUCUAAACUCUGUAAGUCAAACUCCUUAAACUAAUGCUGAGAUAUGAGAACUCCAAACCAUCAAAUUUCUAAGAAUACAAGCAUUAACCUUCCCUCCGAAACUUUUUUUAGCGUUUUGGUUUUUAUACUAAUGAUUUAUAGCAUCUCCAAGAUACUCUAAAUAUGAGAUGCUCUCUAUUUUGAAGAAUCUAUCCUAAAAUCAUGUUUUAAGAGACUUUUUAAAUUUAAAUUUUAGUUUAGAUAGUGGGUUUGAAUUUGGAGAGCCUAAUUCACUCUCUAUAAUUAAAUACAUUCAAAGUGUUUAAUUUUCAAUAAAGGAAAAUGAUAAAAUAAUCUAGAAAAGGGCUAGUUAAAAAAAGAUAGAGAAAAAUAAUAAAUAUUUUUUGUGAGUAAUAAAAUUAAGUUUUAAAUAUAAAGAACUUGUAGGAGUAUUUCAAAAUCUUAUCUCUCUAAAUUUACAGAUGCUAUCCAAAUGAUAGAACGUUCUUUAAAAAAAGAGUCUCUUAGAAAUGCUCUUAGGAAUUCAGUCAAGUAUUGGUUAACAACACUAACAUUAAAUCCACAUAAUCAAGCCAUACCCUAACAUAAGUGAUAAGUCAAUAUGGCUAUGUACUCAAUAAUUAAGUUUAACAUGGAUAAGUACUCAAGAAAAUGCACAUGUUUUGUUGCUGUCCAGUAAUCUAGCUAAAGUCAUACUCAAUUCAAUUAAAUAUCAUCACAGGCGGCAAGUCAUUCAACACUAAAUUAGACACUAUAUUUUAAUUUUUCAAAAUUUUUUCCUUAGUCAUUAAUAACUGACUCGAUCAGUAGUUGAAAAAUUAAGUAUAAUUAACAGUUAUCAUGAUACUUACCCCACCCCUAAACAAAAUACUAUAUUGGCCCCAAUAUAAAAUUAAUUAAUCAUAAAUAAAUGAAUAAGAGAUCAGAUACUCCUUGGGGUGGAUGCGGAUGAGUGGAGGAAUUAGGUUUGUCCGACUGGCUGGACAAACUAGUAGGUCUGAGAGACUUGACAGUCCUUACUAUUUGGCCUUCAUUUUUGGUCAAUCAUCUCCAAUUGACUCUCAAAGUGCACUGUCAAUUAGGUUGGUCCGACUGGCUGGACAAACUAGUAGGUCUGAAAGACUUAGCAGUCCUUACCAUCUG
rnacentral:lncRNA from 1 species